rnacentral:rRNA from 1 species
CUCCUACGGGAGGCAGCAGUGGGGAAUCGUUGCACAAUGGACGAAAGUCUGAUGCAGCAACGCCGCGUGGGGGAUGGAAGCUUUUCGGAGUUGUAAACCCCUUUCGACCCGGAAGAAAGCCCGCAACGGGUUUGACGGGUUACGGGUAUAAGGAAGCCCCGGCUAACCUACGUGCCAGCAGCCGCGGUAAUAC